UAUGAUACCCAAAAAAUCACUCUUGUUUUUCUUUUGGUAAUAGAAAUAGUUAAGGCACUGAGGGAAGUCGGAGUAUAACGUCUUCUUUCCAAAAUUGUAUUCGAAGAUCUUCUCAAGAGUGAACCGCCACCAACGUCGUAUCAAUUAGAGGCCUUCUCAAGAGUGAACCGCCACCAAUGCUGGAUUGGGUAACCGAAAGCUGAAAACUCACAAGUAGUCACAACAUGUGACAGCCCUAAGAACCUUACUACAUGUUGUGGUUUCGGGCUUGGGGAUUAUGAGUUUUGGCCUACAAUCUUCUGAUAUUCAAAAAAAAAAAAAAAA
rnacentral:sRNA from 1 species